AAGCAACCAUUUCUAUCCAAAUAAAACAAAUUUCGAAGCUCGGGAUCAUAGGUGAGAGUUACAGGAGUCGGACUAAAAAGCUGGACCAAAGCGGUAAACAGAAUACCGGCGAAUGAUUUUGUAAAAGCAAUAUAUUUGUUAUAAAGCUCCUUGUUGACAAAAUACAGAGGAGUUCCAAUAACUUCCGAGGUAUAAAUGGUAACUGAACCAACAGCCAAACAUAAUAUGAAUGAAUACUUGCGAAUCGCAAUUCUGCAUGUCAUGUUGUCAAACCUAAAUGAAUUAAAGGAACCUAAAUCAAAUCUCAAGAAAUAAAAGACUGUUAAAUAGAAUCCAGAGAAAGUUAGCAAAGUCGGUUUUAGUGAUGCCCUUUCGCGUUUCUCACCGCACAGUAAAAGUCGUACACGAACACUAAAUAGACACCAAUUUGAGCAAAAAAAAUCCCAAAAAGAAAAUUAAAAGCUCUCUGCUUUCUUUUUAAUUUCUUAGCCGCACGUUUAGCACCAAAGUGUAAUUCAGGGAAUGUCAGUGGUUAUAGGCAGUGGGUAAAGAAGUAGCGAUCGUACGUUGUCAAUUUGUAAAAGUGCUCGGA